CACGAAACGUUUGUUCGCCACCACAGGCCACAGCAACCUAAGUUAGGUACAUUAUAUUUAUUGUAUAUUUGUGAUUUCUGAUAAAAACAAUAAAUAUUUGUGUAUAUUUAUCAUCAAUUAUAAAAAUACAAAAAAUAUAAUACAUUUAUUUAGGUUGCUGUGGUGGCGAACAAACGUUUCGUG